rnacentral:rRNA from 1 species
UACGGGGGGGGCAAGCGUUGUUCGGAAUUACUGGGCGUAAAGGGCUCGUAGGUGGCCAACUAAGUCAGACGUGAAAUCCCUCGGCUUAACCGGGGAACUGCGUCUGAUACUGGAUGGCUUGAGUUCGGGAGAGGGAUGCGGAAUUCCAGGUGUAGCGGUGAAAUGCGUAGAUAUCUGGAGGAACACCGGUGGCGAAGGCGACAUCCUGGACCGGCAUUGACGCUGAGGCGCGAAAGCCAGGGGAGCAAACGGG